UCCUGUUUCAUCUAAUUAUUAACACAGGUGAAGUUUUGCUCAUUUUUGUAUUGUAGCUUUUUGUUUGAGUUCUUGAUAUUAAAUUUCUGACAAAAAACAAAACAAAACAACAGAGUAAAGAAUUCUACACUGAGGAUUUAUUUAGCUCCAUGUGGUGGUCACUUCACCGCCCCUGUGGGAGUGAUCCUCUCUCCAGGGUGGCCUGGUUAUUAUAAAGACUCUCUGAGCUGCGAGUGGUGAUCGAGGCCGAGCCGGGACACUCCAUCAAGCUGAGCUUUGACAGCAUCAUCACUGCGACCUUUCCUGUGGGGGAAGCUGUGAAAUAUAGAAGAUCCUUUUUGUGAUCUACAGCACUUUUGGGAGCCGUAAUGCCGAGUCGCUGAACAAAUACAAAGCAGCCGUGUGGGGAGGAGAAAGUUUUAGUAGAAGUCUUUUGACAUGAUCAUUUUAAUAUUUCUUUUUGAAAAAUUGACAUAUAUAUAUAUUUCUCAAAUUUGUUGUGGUGCCAGAGGAAUAAAUGAUGAUAAUGUUUGUAAUUAUAAUGGCUACGUCAUCCAGAAAAGGAGUAUGGUACAAAAUCCCAUUAGUCUGCAGCACCGAUCGGAUCAGAUAAUCCUCCAGGCCUCAUCUGUGGAGAAAUUUUUUACCAGCGCCUUAUAAUUUAAAGCCUCAGAAACGUGUCGGCGGAUGAAAAGCGAUCAAUGGAGACAACAGAGGAAUGAAAACAUUGGAAACGAUACAGCGGUGAAACAGAACAAACUAGCGAUUGUGUUGAUAAACUGCACGUUAGUUUGAUGGCAGAAGGAAAUGAUGCGUAUUGACAGACUGCGGUUGUUGGUUAUCUCGUUCCACAGGAAAACAAGGACAGGGAGUCUCUCAGGCGAAACGGCAACGUUACAGAAACCGCUGUUGACCGGUGAUUUCAAGUUUAUGGCUUUUUUUACGUCCGGCCUACGGCGAAGGUUUCGUCUCGUUCCGAACCCAAGUGUCUGUUACAGGCACGAACCCAAACUCCCUUCUUCCCCUUGUCCCACGUACGGCACGAAGGCGUUCAAGCUCACAGCUCUCGCUCCUUCCCGAAGCGACCUGGUCUGAGAUGUCAGGCUUAUUCAGUUUUAAUGACUUUAUGUAAUUAUGUAUGAAUAAAAAAUGGGCAGUAAUAUUUUGGAGAGGCUGCAAAAGCACCAAAGGGCAGGAAGCUGCUGCUGGAGCUCUGCAUCGAGCAUUAUCCUGUUGUUGCUUUAUUGUUAAUCGUGGCUUGGUGUGUGUUUGUGUGUGAGAUUUGCAUAUGAGUGAGUGUGUGUGUGUGUGUGUGUGUGUUUAUUCAUUCUCAUGCUUUGUGUAAUGAUGUUUGUUUAACUCCAGGCCAAGACAUAAUACAAUAUGUAUUCAAGAAGAUACAAUUACAAACAAAAACCCGCUCUC